rnacentral:rRNA from 1 species
AACCUCCGCAAUGUGAGAAAUCGCGACGGGGGGAUCCCAAGUGCCAUUCUUAACGGGAUGGCUUUUCUUAAGUGUAAAAAGCUUUUGGAAUAAGAGCUGGGCAAGACCGGUGCCAGCCGCCGCGGUAACACCGGCAGCUCUAGUGGUAGCUGUUUUUAUUGGGCCUAAAGCGUUCGUAGCCGGUUUGAUAAGUCACUGGUGAAAUCCUGUAGCUUAACUGUGGGAAUUGCUGGUGAUACUGUUGAACUUGAGGUCGGGAGAGGUUAGCGGUACUCCCAGGGUAGAGGUGAAAUUCUGUAAUCCUGGGAGGACCACCUGUGGCGAAGGCGGCUAGCUGGAACGAACCUGACGGUGAGGGACGAAAGCUAGGGGCGCGAACCGGAUUAGAUACCCGGGUAUCCUAGCCGUAAACGAUGCGGACUUGGUGUUGGGAUGGCUUUGAGCCGCUCCGGUGCCGAAGGGAAGCUGUUAAGUCCGCCGCCUGGGAAGUACGGUCGCAAGACUGAAACUUAAAGGAAUU